GGUGACUGACAGUGUGUUAUUACUAAAGCUGUUGUGGACGUCUCUACAUAGAAUAAAUGUUAAUGGACAUUCUGGACUGAAGAUGAUGAUGUGUGAUGAACCGUAUCUGAAGCUUCAGAAACUGCAGAACAGCAAAAAUCAGAAGAGCAAAGACAAAAACUCACAAUCUGAAGAAUUAAAGAAGAAAUCUUGGAGACUUCAUAGUCAGCACAGUCUGGAACAAACAAGACCAAACUUCUCUUAUGAUGCCGAUGAAGCUGUAGAGAGUCAUUCAGUGAGAGACAGUGACAGAUGAGAUAUAAACUGCUCAUGGACAGAGAGAAAACUGAUGUGGAACUGAGCGACUGAAGAUGCAGCUGAAAUAUGGUGGAUUAUUUGACUGGAACUUUAAUGAAGCAAUAAUAAUAAAGCACCCAAACCGCUCCAGACCCAGACGACACUACAG